rnacentral:tRNA from 2 species
AGACUCAUGGUGUAACGGUAGCACUACGGUUUUUGGUACCGUCUGUCGGGGUUCGAAUCCCUGUGAGUCUACCA